rnacentral:lncRNA from 1 species
UUAGCAGACUCGCUAUAUGGAUUAAAUUCCAUUUUCCAAAGUCAGAGAAGAGAGAAAAAACAUAUAGGAAUCUGUUUGGAGUUGGAAGAGAAGGCAAGAGUUUUAAGGAAGAAAUGGACACUCGCAUUCAAGAUUCAAAACAACCAACAACAAACAAAUUCGAGUUAGACAUAUAUCUACCUUAUAUUAAUUACCCUAUCACAACCGUAAUCAACACACAAAGCAAACACUUUAUUAUCCGCAAAGCAAGUCAUUUAACUCAACCACUUCUUUUUCAUUUGGAUAGAGACAAUCACUUCUAUUUAUUACCAAUUACCAACCUAACUCAAACAUAAAGCAUUCAAUGAGAUUAAAUCAUGAAGACAUUUACCUGUAUUCCUCCUCUGCUUUGAAGAUCCUUCGUCAUCUGCUUUGACGAUCCUUCCUCAUCUACCUUGUUUCAUUGCGCUCAACAGACAAACACACACUCGAUUCAAUUAAGUUCCAAUUCUCUUAAAAAAUUCAAACCAGAAGCCAAUCAUAUAAUUCAACUCUUAAACAAUUCAGACCACAACCAUUCAUGACACUGAUUCAAUUCAGUUACGGAUCAAUUGGUGUCCAUUGUGAUGUAACCCUUAAAACAAAAUCCAGAAC